CCUACGGGAGGCAGCAGUGAGGAAUAUUGGUCAAUGGACGAGAGUCUGAACCAGCCAAGUAGCGUGAAGGAUGACUGCCCUAUGGGUUGUAAACUUCUUUUAUAUGGGAAUAAAACAGGGUAUGCAUACCCUCUUGUAUGUACCCUAUGAAUAAGGAUCGGCUAACUCCGUGCCAGCAGCCGCGGUAAUACGGAGGAUCCGAGCGUUAUCCGGAUUUAUUGGGUGUAAAGGGAGCGUAGGUGGAUUGUUAAGUCAGUUGUGAAAGUUUGCGGCUCAACCGUAAAAUUGCAGUUGAAACUGGCAGUCUUGAGUACAGUAGAGGUGGGCGGAAUUCGUGGUGUAGCGGUGAAAUGCUUAGAUAUCACGAAGAACACCGAUUGCGAAGGCAGCUCACUGGACUGCAACUGACACUGAUGCUCGAAAGUGUGGGGAUCAAACAGGAUUAGAUACCCCUGUAGUC
rnacentral:rRNA from 1 species